AUGCAUUUUGGUUCCCUUUUGUGUAGUUUUGGUUCAUGUUUAUGGAACUGUCACGUAUGCCGCCAUAGCAGAACUGAUACUGUGUAUUUUAUCUCUCUUUUGAUUUUGGAAUCUUGCUUUGUAGCUUGUAUAAUUCUAUGUAGUGAUGACAUGUCUGUUUUUUUUGGGCAGGAUACAUGUAAGCCUUUUUGGCAAGGCAAAGAUGAUGAUGACUGGGAAGUGAAGCGAAUUACGACCAAUGGUUGUUUUAAGUUUUGGGAGAUUUGA